UACAGAGGUCUCAAGCGUUGUUCGGAUUCAUUGGGCGUAAAGGGCGCGUAGGCGGCCUGGCAAGUGGAAGGUGAAAUCCCUCGGCUUAACCGAGGAACUGCCUCCCAAACUGCUUGGCUUGAGACCGGGAGAGGUGAGUGGAAUUCCCAGUGUAGCGGUGAAAUGCGUAGAUAUUGGGAAGAACACCAGCGGCGAAAGCGCGCUACUGGGCCAUUACUGACACUCAUGGACGAAAGCUAGGGGAGCGAAAGGG
rnacentral:rRNA from 1 species